AUCUAUGGCCAUACCACCCUGAACGCACCCUAUCUCGUCUGUUCUGGUAAAGCUACUCAGGGUUGGGCCUUGUUAGUACUUGGAUGGGAGACCGCCUGGGAAUGCCGGGUGCAGUAGGUU
rnacentral:rRNA from 1 species